rnacentral:lncRNA from 1 species
CUCCUCUCCUUGGUUGUAGCCUUAGGUCAGGCUGUCGAUCUAUCAUCAAAAAUGGUGCUAAUGACAUCCACUAUGGAUCAGUUGUCAAGAUUUUCUUCAAGUUGCUGCAACUCGACUUGGACCUUGUUCCAAUUCUGUCACCCAUCCACAUACCGCCUAACUCAUCCAUGCCUGAUGAAUGCCUUGAUUCUGUCUCAGAGCUUCACGCACUCUUUUAUGUCGUGGCUGUGAAUUAGUAGUAUUUUUUGAUGUUCCAUUUG